rnacentral:misc_RNA from 1 species
GAACGCACCUUGCGCUCCUUGGUAUUCCGAGGAGCAUGCCUGUUUGAGUGUCAUGAAACCCUCAAACUCAAGUUUAGUUCUAACUGAACCGAACUUGAGUUUGGAUUUGGACGUUUGCCGGUGAUGAACCGACUCGUCUUAAAAGUAUUAGCUGGAUCUGUCUAUAUGACUGGUUUGACUUGGCAUAAUAAGUAUUUUGCUGAGGACAUCUUCGGAUGGCCAGGACCUAGACUAUUGUCUGCUAACUAAACCUUCACUUUGAGUGCAUCUUCUGGAUGUUACUCAUUGUGUUACUUUGACAUCUGGCCUCAAAUCAGGUAGGACUACCCGCUGAACUUAAG